rnacentral:rRNA from 1 species
AUUGAACGCUGGCGGCAGGCCUAAUACAUGCAAGUCGAGCGAGCGGCGGACGGGUGAGUAAUGUCUGGGAAACUGCCUGUUGGCGGGGGAUAACUACUGGAAACGGUAGCUAAUACCGCAUACCAUCAGAUGUGCCCCGAUGGGAUUAGCUAGUCGGUGGGUUAACGGCUCACCUAGGCGACGAGCCAUACCUGGUCUGAGAGGAUGAUCAGCCACACGGGAACUGAGACACGGCCCAGACUCCUACGGGAGGCAGCAGUAGGGAAUAUUGCGCAAUGGGCGCAAGCCUGAUGCAGCCAAGCCGCGUGAGUGAAGAAGGCCUUCGGGUGGUAAAGCACUUUCAGCGGGGAGGCGGUACCCAAAGAAGAAGCACCGGCUAACUCCGUGCCAGCAGCCGCGGUAAUUC